rnacentral:rRNA from 1 species
UCGAAACCUGCCCAGCAGAACGACCNGCGAACAUGUUUAUCUAUCUUGGGCGUCGCGGCGUUGCUCAGGUACCUUGUGUGCCACCUCGUCCCUCGCCCAAGCUGGGCACCGCCNACUUGUGGGCUGGUUGCUUGGCACUUAAACGAACCCCGGCGYNAAAAGCGUCAAGGAACAUAAACUCAAUGUGCGCGCCCUCNUCUUGCCCGGUUAGCCGGUGCAUGGGUGUGGUGCCAUGUCUUAACAAUA